rnacentral:tRNA from 1 species
GAAUUUAGUGUAAAAUAGUAGAACGAGGAUUUUUGAAGUCCUAGGUGUGGGU